UGUUCCCUUGUGAACCCCCACACCUCUCCUAACCUGAGGGAUAGUCCUUCUCUUACUUUUAGCUUUAGCCUCUUUGCUUUCUUCCUUGUCAUAGGCCCUCCCUUGGUUGCUUCAUUUUGUUCUUUCUCUCGCAGUACCUCUCUUUCUUUGGUUUAAAUACUUCAUUUUUAAUGGGGUUUUCCUUACAACUACUCCUCUUUCUUCUAUACUGCAGACGGGCCUUUGUAUGAUUACACUGCUUACACUGAGUGUAAAGGGCAGCCAGAGAAGGCACUUUACAAAGGAGGGAUUCUCAAAGAUGGUGAGCCUGUCACUGUCAAAGGCAGCAUCGGUGGUUCUGCGAGUAAUGUAUUUUGGCCGGCUUUCAUAUUGCACAAUCUCACUCAGGUUGGGUCAAGAUACAAGGUGCAGAAUCAACUCUCAUAAAGGCAAGCCUGAAGUCACAAGUUGUGCCAUAUGACUGUAUAGGGACUGUCAUAGCAAAGCAUGGAUAUGGAAACCACCCAAUAUAUAGAGAAGAGAAUUAUGGAAUAUGCUAGGACCUUAUCUAAGGAAAAGACCGUAUCCAAGGACAACAGCUUAAAUGGUUGGGAAGCUCCAGAGGAGGGAUGGAUUUUAAACUCAAUGUAGAUUUUGUUGUGUCUGAAAAUGUCAUUGCUUUGGCGAUGGUGGCUAGGAAUAAAAAUGGAGAGGUUCUUAAAGUUUGGGCUAAAAUGUAUGAAUGGUGCUCACCACUGCAAGUUGAAGCUGCAGCUGUGCUCUGGGCAAUCCGGCUAGCUCUAAGUGAAAACUGGCAGCAUAUCAUCAUUGAAGGAGAUGCUAA